rnacentral:rRNA from 1 species
AUUGAACGCUGGCGGCAGGCCUAACACAUGCAAGUCGAACGGUAACAGGAAGCAGCUUGCUGCUUUGCUGACGAGUGGCGGACGGGUGAGUAAUGUCUGGGAAACUGCCCGAUGGAGGGGGAUAACUACUGGAAACGGUAGCUAAUACCGCAUAACGUCGCAAGACCAAAGAUGGGGACCUUAGGGCCUCUUGCCAUCGGAUGUGCCCAGAUGGGAUUAGCUAGUAGGUGGGGUAACGGCUCACCUAGGCGACGAUCCCUAGCUGGUCUGAGAGGAUGACCAGCCACACUGGAACUGAGACACGGUCCAGACUCCUACGGGAGGCAGCAGUGGGGAAUAUUGCACAACGGGCGCAAGCCUGAUGCAGCCAUGCCGCGUGUAUGAAGAAGGCCUUCGGGUUGUAAAGUACUUUCAGCGGGGAGGAAGGGAGUAAAGUUAAUACCUUUGCUCAUUGACGUUACCCGCAGAAGAAGCACCGGCUAACUCCGUG